GUGGGGAAUAUUGGACAAUGGGCGCAAGCCUGAUCCAGCCAUGCCGCGUGAGUGAUGAAGGCCCUAGGGUUGUAAAGCUCUUUCAGUGGGGACGAUAAUGACGGUACCCACAGAAGAAGCCCCGGCUAACUUCGUGCCAGCAGCCGCGGUAAUACGAAGGGGGCUAGCGUUGUUCGGAUUUACUGGGCGUAAAGCGCACGUAGGCGGAUCGUUAAGUCGAGGGUGAAAUCCUGGAGAUCAACUCCAGAACUGCCUUCGAUACUGGCGGUCGUGAGUCCGGAAGAGGUGAGUGGAACUCCUAGUGUAGAGGUGGAAUUCGUAGAUAUUAGGAAGAACACCAGUGGCGAAGGCGGCUCACUGGUCCGGUACUGACGCUGAGGUGCGAAAGCGUGGGGAGCAAACAGGAUUAGAAACCCUUGUAGUCC
rnacentral:rRNA from 1 species